rnacentral:rRNA from 1 species
GACGAACGCUGGCGGCGUGCUUAACACAUGCAAGUCGAACGGAAAGGCCCUGCUUUUGUGGGGUGCUCGAGUUGCGAACGGGUGAGUAACACGUGAGUAACCUGCCCUUGACUUUGGGAUAACUUCAUGAAACUUGGGCUAAUACCGGAUAGGAGCUCCUGCUGCAUGGUGGGGGUUGGAAAGUUUCGGCGGUUGGGGAUGGACUCGCGUCUUAUCAGCUUGUUGGUUGGGUAGUGGCUUACCAAGGCUUUGACGGGUAGCCGGCCUGAGAGGGUGACCGGCCACACUGGGACUGAGCUAAGGCACAGACUCCUACGGGAGGCAGCAGUGGGGAAUAUUGCACAAUGGGAGGAAGCAUGAUGCAGCAACGCAGCGUGCGGGAUGACGGCCUUCGGGUUGUAAACCGAUUUCGCCUGUGACGAAGCGUGAGUGACGGUAAUGGGUAAAGAAGCACCGGCUAACUACGUG